rnacentral:sRNA from 1 species
GGCUCUAAUGGAAGAAGCCAACAACAUACAAAAAUAGAUAGGUAACAGGUUGAUCACAACCAGUUACAGAUUUCUUCGUUCCUUCUCCACUCCCACUACUUCACUUGACUAGACUUUA